rnacentral:lncRNA from 1 species
UUCACAAUUCUGAAGCUCUCAGAUCAAACUCGGGCUUUCUAAUGAUCCAUAAUCGAGCCCAGUAAAAGCUAUCUGUACUUGCUUGGUGGUAUACGGCUGGGAUUGAAUUUAUAUUUAGCUCAGGUACUACUCGUAAUAGGCUGGUUGUCUUCUAGCGUCCACAAUAAGUCUCGCAAGCUUGGAUGCCUUAAAGUCUGUUGAACAAAUGAUUCAUUUUAUUUUUGAUCCGCCUGUGGAUCCUUUACAUUCCGUUUGUA